GUUCUGUCUGUCAGCCGCUUUGGUACGCUGCAUCGGGAUCGAAGUGACGGACCGUGAAGGCGCGAGAGUCAGGUCUGAGGGUCGGGGGCAGAGCCGCCCGCGAGGCCGGCCUGGGGAUAGCGAUGCUCGGGUUCCCCCCGGGUCGCCCGCAGCUCCCGGUCCAGCUCCGCCCACAGACUCGGAUGGCGACCGCACUGAGGGACCCGGCUUCGGGCCGUGGGAGCCAUAGAGAGCUUGCGCAAACGAGAGACACCAUCUGAGUUAAAUUUGAAAAAUCCUCUGCAGGCUGUUCAGUGGAAGAAAAGACUUUAGAGAUGGAUGAGGACGUUGAGGCAGAGGGAGGUUGAAUAUUUUUCCAAGGCCACACAACUGGUGAGAGGCAGCACUAAGGACCGAGGCGCACAGGUUCCCAUAGCUACAGAGGUGCUUUUCAAACUUACACAGGUAAGUGGAGGUAUCUCA
rnacentral:lncRNA from 10 species